CACACAUGUGACACUCGUUUGCUGUCUCACCUCCUUCGGUGUCCUUGUGUCUCUUUGUUUUGUUUCCUUUGUGUCUCUCUUUGUGUUUUUCUGUAUACCUAUAUGUU